rnacentral:rRNA from 1 species
GAUGAACGCUGGCGGCGUGCCUAAUACAUACAAGUCGAGCGAACGGACGAGAAGCUUGCUUCUCUGAUGUUAGCGGCGGACGGGUGAGUAACACGUGGAUAACCUACCUAUAAGACUGGGAUAACUUCGGGAAACCGGAGCUAAUACCGGAUGAUAUUUUGAACCGCAUGGUUCAAAAGUGAAAGACGGUCUUGCUGUCACUUAUAGAUGGAUCCGCGCUGCAUUAGCUAGUUGGUAAGGUAACGGCUUACCAAGGCAACGAUGCAUAGCCGACCUGAGAGGGUGAUCGGCCACACUGGAACUGAGACACGGUCCAGACUCCUACGGGAGGUAGCAGUAGGGAAUCUUCCGCAAUGGGCGAAAGCCUGACGGAGCAACGCCGCGUGAGUGAUGAAGGUCUUCGGAUCGUAAAACUCUGUUAUUAGGGAAGAACAUAUGUGUAAGUAACUGUGCACAUCUUGACGGUACCUAAUCAGAAAGCCACGGCUAACUACGUG